UGAGGAAUAUUGGUCAAUGGGCGCAAGCCUGAACCAGCCAUCCCGCGUGCAGGAAGACGGCCCUAUGGGUUGUAAACUGCUUUUCCAGGGAGAGAAACUUGCGUACGCGUUGCGCAAUUGACGGUACCCUGGGAAUAAGCAUCGGCUAACUCCGUGCCAGCAGCCGCGGUAAUACGGAGGAUGCGAGCGUUAUCCGGAUUCAUUGGGUUUAAAGGGUGCGUAGGCGGACUAUUAAGUCAGUGGUGAAAUCCUGCAGCUUAACUGCAGAACUGCCAUUGAUACUGAUAGCCUUGAGUUUGGUUAAGGUAGGCGGAAUGUGUAAUGUAGCGGUGAAAUGCUUAGAUAUUACACAGAACACCAAUUGCGUAGGCAGCUUACUGAGCCGACACUGACGCUGAGGCACGAAAGCGUGGGGAUCGAACAG
rnacentral:rRNA from 1 species